AGGCUUACCUCAUGCAAGUCGAGCGGGGAGAUGUAGCUUGCUACUUUUCCUAGCGGCGGACGGGUGAGUAAUGCUUAGGAAUCUGCCUAUUAGGGGGGGACAACUUUCCGAAAGGAAUGCUAAUACCGCAUACCCCCUACGGGGGAAAGCAGGGGAUCUUCGGACCUUGCGCUAAUAGAUGAGCCUAAGUCAAAUUAGCUAGUUGGGGGGGUAAAGGCCUACCAAGGCGACAAUCUGUAGCGGGUCUGAGAGGAUGAUCCGCCACACUGGGACUGAAACACGGCCCAAACUCCUACGGGAGGCAGCAGUGGGGAAUAUUGGACAAUGGGCGAAAGCCUGAUCCAGCCAUGCCGCGUGUGUGAAGAAGGCCUUUUGGUUGUAAAGCACUUUAAGCGAGGAGGAGGCUACUUAGAUUAAUACUCUAGGAUAGUGGACGUUACUCGCAAAAUAAGCACCGGCUAACUCUGUG
rnacentral:rRNA from 1 species